AGUUUGAUCAUGGCUCAGAUUGAACGCUGGCGGGAUACUUUACACAUGCAAGUCGAACGGCAGCACGGACUUCGGUCUGGUGGCGAGUGGCGAACAGGUGAGUAAUGUAUCGGAACGUGCCUAGUAGCGGGGGAUAACUACGCGAAAGCGUAGCUAAUACCGCAUACGCCCUUCGGGGAAAGCAGGGGACCUUCGGGCCUCGCACUAUUAGAGCGGCCGAUAUCGGAUUAGCUAGUUGGUGGGGUAACGGCUCACCAAGGCGACGAUCCGUAGCUGGUUUGAGAGGACGACCAGCCACACCUGGGACUGAGACACGGCCCAGACUCCUACGGGAGGCAGCAGUGGGAAUUUUGGACAAUGGGGAAACCUGAUCCAGCCAUCCCGCGUGUGCGAUGAAGGCCUUCGGGUUGUAAAGCACUUUUGGCAGGAAAAACUGGCACGGGAUAAUACCCCGUGCAACUGACUAACCUGCAGAAUAAGCACCGGCUAACUACGUGCCAGCAGCCGCGGUAAUACGUAGGAUGCAAGCGUUAAUCGGAAUUACUGGGCGUAAAGCGUGCGCAGGCGGUUCGGAAAGAAGAUGUGAAAUCCAGAGCUUAACUUUGGAACUGCAUUUUUAACUACCGAGCUAGAGUGUGUCAGAGGAGGUGGAAUUCCGUGUAGCAGUGAAAUGCGUAGAUAUGCGGAGGAACACCGAUGGCGGAAGGCAGCCUCCUGGGAUAACACUGACGCUCAUGCACGAAAGUGUGGGGAGCAAACAGGAUUAGAUACCCUGGUAGUCCGCCUAAACGAUGUCAACUAGCUGUUGGGGCCUUCGGGCCUUGGUAGCGCAGCUAACGCGUGAAGUUGACCGCCUGGAAACCACGGUCGCAAGAUUAAACUCAAGGAAUUGACGGGGACCCGCACAAGCGGUGGAUGAUGUGGAUUAAUUCGAUGCAACGCGAAAAACCUUACCUACCCUUAAAGCAUGUCUGGAAUCCCGAAGAGAUUUGGGAGUGCUCGCAAGAGAACCAGGAACACAGGUGCUGCAUGGCUGUCGUCAGCUCGUGUCGUGGAUAUUUAGGUUGCGUCCGCAACGAGCGCAACCCUUGUCAUUAGUUGCUACGAAAGGGCACUCUAAUGAGACUGCCGGUGACAAACCGGAGGAAGGUGGGGAUGACGUCAAGUCCUCAUGGCCCUUAUGGGUAGGGCUUCACACGUCAUACAAUGGUCGGGACAGAGGGUCGCCAACCCGCGAGGAGCCAAUCCCAGAAACCCGAUCGUAGUCCGGAUCGCAGUCUGCAACUCGACUGCGUGAAGUCGGAAUCGCUAGUAAUCAUGAGGAUCAGCAUGUCGCGGGUAGAUACGUUCGGGUCUUGUACACACCGCCCGUCACACCAUGGGAGUGGGUUUUACCAGAAGUAGUUAGCCUAACCGUAAGGAGGGCGAUUACCACGGUAGGAUUCAUGACUGGGGUGAAGUCGUAACACAAGGUAA
rnacentral:rRNA from 1 species